rnacentral:lncRNA from 1 species
UGUACUGGACUCAUCAAGUAACUCGCCUCGGCCGAGGCAGGCUCCUAAUCAUUGUUUGUGAAUCAUAUAAAAAACAAAUACGAGAUUAGGACUCUUUAACAAACAAAAUUGGUGUGCAGCUCCUUAACACCACUGCUAGUUGAACUGGCAGGUUGCAAAUCGACAUGAAUGGGUCAUUAAGUGCACUAGAGCUCUAUUUUCAUAUCUAAUUAGAAAAUUUUAAACUCCAAAAAUAGUUAAAAUCAAGGAGAUCUAUAAACAUAUCAAAAUUUUGAAAAUGGGCAGCCUAGAUAAUGUGUUGCAAGAUGCACUAUUUUUGAGGCUUAAAACUUUUUUUUUUAUAUUCAUACGUCUCGAUGUCGAGAUAAUCAAAUAGAGGGUUUUCAACAUUAAAAUAACCUUUCCGAUAGAUUUUUGAGGUGCAUUUGUAAUUCUACACUUUAAGGUUGUAACUUUAUAUAAACUUUUUCGUGUGUAUGUGUGUGCGCGUCCAUGCGUGUGGGGGUUUGUCUAGAGCAUUGUUCGCAAAAUCGCCCGAGUGUGUGUGUGUAGAGCACUGUUCGCAAAAUCGCUCGAUCUAACCUCUAACUGCUGGGUUAGAUUGGAACUGCUCGAUUUUGGUUUUGGGCGGUUGAUCAACCGGUAUUUAAAAAAAAAAAUUUCAAAAAAAUGUAUAUAAAUUAUAAAAAAAGAAGUAAUUUGAUUUGUAAUGCAUUUUUAAAUAUUCUUUACAUUAUGGUAAAGAUUAAAAAUGGUUUUGGUCAUUACUACUCACUUUUAUAUUUUCUCAUCUUUUUUAGAAAAAUUUAAAAGGGUGUUGUAAGCAUACGGAUGCAUUCGUAGCUGUAGAGGUUAGGUGCACCUUCAAGUUUUAUCAUGGUAUAUAAUUUUGAUGUAAAAUGUUCUUAGGAUUAUCUCAAAAUCUAUUUUUAUAUCUAAUUGUAAAAUUUUAAAUUUCAAAAAUGAUUAAAAUCAAGUAGAUCUAUAAACAUAUGAAAAUCUUGAAAAUGGAUGGUGUAGGUAAUAAGUUGUAAAAUGCACUAUUUCUGAGACUUAAAAUCUUUUUAUUUUUCAUGGUCAUACAUCUCGAUGUCGAGAUGAUCAAUCAAAGGGUUUUUCAACAUUAAAACUACCUUUUCCGAUGGAUUUUUGAGGUUGCAUCCGUAGUUCUACAAUAUAAGGUUGCAUCCUUAGAUAAACUUGUUCCAUUUUAAAAAUAGCCAUUGGAAAAUAUAAAAUGGGUUAAAAUCUAUUUUUUUCAUUAAUUUUCAACUUCAUUUGAAUGUGUUUUGUUUUUAUCAUUCUUUUUAUGCUUUUUAUAUUUUAUUAGAUUUUUUUUGUAUUCUUUUUAUUUUUUUUCAACACUUUGUUUACCACUCUUAGAGCGGUUGAAUCAGCCGGUUUACCGGUUAGGCCGAUUAAAUCGCUUCCAGGCUCAUGUCCGAUUAACUGUUCCGAUUCGAUUUUGCAAACACUGGUUUAGAGUUAACAACUCCUAAAAAUACAAAGGUUAACCGCUCUGGUUCGAUUUUGCGAACGUUGGUCUAGAUUUGACAACUCUUAAAAAUACAAAGGUUAAUGAUAGGAGGGGUUCAAAAAGAUCAUUACUUUUUGUUUAAGAAAUUAUUUUAAUAUGUUACUUCACCACAAAGCAAGGGCAAAUUUGAAAUUAUUGUAAAAGUAUAAUGGUAUUUUGAAAGUUAGUGUAUUCGAAUUUUACUUGUAGAGUGUCAUUGUCCUCAAGUAAAAAUUUUAAUUUUACCCUUUAUAGAGAUGAUAAAAGUACCUAUUUCAAUUUUACCAAAUAGUUUUGGUCAUUACUACUCGCUUUUAUAUUUUCCCAUCUUUUUUAAAAAAAAUUAAAAGGGUGUGGUAGGCAUACGGAUGCAUCCGUAGCUGUAGAGGUUAGGUGCACCUUUAAGUUUUAUCAUGGUAUAUAAUUUUGAUGUAAAAUGUUCUUAGGAUUAUCUCAAAAUCUAUUUUUAUAUCUAAUUGUAAAAUUUUAAAUUUCAAAAUGAUUAAAAUCAAGUAGAUCUAUAAACAUAUGAAAAUCUUGAAAAUGGAUGGUGUAGGGAAUAUGUUGUAAAAUGCACUAUUUCUGAGACUUAAAAUCUUUUUAAUUUUCAUGGUCAUACAUCUCGACGUCGAGAUGAUCAAUCAAAGGGUUUUUCAACAUUAAAACUACCUUUUCCGAUGGAUUUUGGAGGUGCAUCCGUAGUUCUACAAUAUAAGGUUGCAUCCUUAGAUAAACUUGUUCCAUUUUAAAAAUAGCCAUUGGAAAAUAUAAAAUGGGUUAAAAUCAAUUUUUUUCAUUAAUUUUCAACUUCAUUUGAAUGUGUUUUGUUUUAAUCAUUCUUUUUAUGCUUUUCAUAUUUUAUUAUAUUUUUUUUGUAUUUUUUUUAUGUUUUUUCAACACUUUUUUUACCACUCUUAGAGCGGUUGAAUCAGCCGGUUUACCGGUUAGGCCGAUUAAAUCGCUUCCAGGCUCAUGUCCGAUUAACUGUUUUGGUUUGAUUUUGCCAACACUGGUCUAGAGUUAACAACUCUUAAAAGUACAAAGGUUAACCGCUUCGGUUCGAUUUUGCGAAUGCUGGUCUAGACUUAACUCUUAAAAAUACAAAGGUUAAUGAUAGGAGGGGUUCAAAAAGAUAAGUACUUUUUGUUUAAGAAAUUAUUUUAAUAUGUUAUUUCAACAUAAAGCAAGGGCAAAUUUGAAAUUAUUGUAAAAGUAUAAUGGUAUUUUGAAAGUUAGUGUAUUCGAAUUUUAUUUGUAGAGUGUCAUUGUCCUUAAGUAAAAAUUUCAAUUUUACUUUUUAUGGAGAUGAUAAAAGUACUUAUUGUCUUAUAGUGAUAUUUACAAAAAUACAUUUACUUAAUGAGCAAGAUAUCACAAAAAGUAAUUUUUUAAAAACAAUAGAUCACAAAGUUAAUAAAUCCACC